AGAGUUUGAUCAUGGCUCAGGACGAACGCUGGCGGCGUGCUUAACACAUGCAAGUGGAGCGACGAACCAGGGCUUGCCCUGGGGCAGAGCCGCGAACGGGUGAGUAACACGUGGGUAACGUGCCCCAAUGAUCGGGACAACCCGGGGAAACCCGGGCUAAUACCGAAUGUGCUCCCCUCACACCAGUGAGGGGUGGAAAGGAAGCUUCGGCCUCCGCAUUGGGAUCGGCCCGCGGCCCAUUAGCUUGUUGGUGAGGUAACGGCUCACCAAGGCUGCGAUGGGUAGCUGGUCUGAGAGGACGAUCAGCCACACUGGGACUGAGACACGGCCCAGACUCCUACGGGAGGCAGCAGUGGGGAAUCUUGCGCAAUGCGCGAAAGCGUGACGCAGCAACGCCGCGUGGGGGAAGAAGGCCUUCGGGUUGUAAACCCCUUUCAGGAGGGACGAAGCCAGGGCGGUUAAUAGCCGACCCGGGUGACGGUACCUCCAGAAGAAGCCCCGGCUAACUACGUGCCAGCAGCGGCGGUAAUAC
rnacentral:rRNA from 1 species